UGGAUUCAAUCGGGGGUUUUUUUUUGAAAUAUGAAAUUUGACCCAUUGAAAUGUUUUAAAGUUAAAUUCAGAUUCGGUUCGAUUUCUUCGAGUUUGGAUUGGAUAUAUAGACAUAUAGUAUAACACAUCGGAAACCGAAGUGAAUCCAUUGGCUGUGCACGUCGUUCGGGAGAAAGGGGCUUUGUUGCCAGUCUUGGCGAAUCUCAUAAAAACUUACCUUUACAACAAUCCUAUUUGGAAACAUCUUCAGCUUCCAUGAUUGGAAGGCCUUGUCUUGAUGAUUUCUGUUUUAAAGCCAUGGUUGGAAGAUCUACAUGUAUUGCUUAUUUCUUUCUUUCUGGGUUCUGUUUGAUUUCAAACAUAAAUAACUUACUCCUUGGAUUUCUUUGAGCUUGAUGCGAUUUUAGGUUUACCGGACAAGCCAUUGAAGGAUAAGGUGAAGAAGAGGAUGGAAUCAGAUUUCUGAGUUCAUGGAAAUCUGACCGAAGAUGCAUUAGAUUGAAUCAAUGAUAUUGUUUCCUCCACCUGCCAAAGUCGCGACUCUUGCCAGGUCGGACAUCUUUUGCACGCAUCAUCGAAAGAGCCAUGACGAUUGUGGAAGAAAGUGGAGGCCGGUACCAUGUUCUUCUCAUAAUCUCUGAUGGACAGAUAACAAAAGACGUGUUAGAACUGGAACUUGAGCUCGGUUAUAAACAUUCGCAGACAUUUAUAUAGUUAAUUUCUGAGCUUUUUAUUUAAUAGGUGACAAGAAGUGUUAAAGAAGUCAAUAAAGUAAAUAACAACUAACAAGAUGAGGUUGUUUUGAAUUGA